UACGAGGGGGGCAAGCGUUGUUCGGAAUUAUUGGGCGUAAAGGGCGCGUAGGCGGUGCGGUAAGUCACCUGUGAAAACUCUGGGCUCAACUCAGAGCCUGCAGGCGAAACUGCCGUGCUUGAGUGUGGGAGAGGUGCGUGGAAUUCCCGGUGUAGCGGUGAAAUGCGUAGAUAUCGAGAGGAACACCUGCGGCGAAGGCGGGUUGCUGGGCCGACACUGACGCUGAUGCGCGAAAGCCAGGGGAGCGAACGGG
rnacentral:rRNA from 1 species